UUCUCUAAACACAAAUAAUUUAUUUCAGUUUGUUCAAGAGGACUAUACACUCAGUGAUGUUCUGAACAGUAUCACAAAGGAGGAUUUGCAACUGCUCAGACUCCGUGGUGGACUUGUCUGUCGCAUCUGGAAUGCAAUAUUAAAACACAGAAAGCAAAAUGCAGUCUUGGGAAUGGAGGAUUAGCAUUUUACUUUUGCCAGAUGCUAAUGGACUGUAAGAAAAAAAAUACAUUCCAAAUAAGUUUUAUAUACAGAUUGCCUUGCAUGUUUUGCACAAUUAAAAGCUCUGUUUAUAAAUAUUAAAUGAUAUUACAAA